GAUGAACGCUAGCGGCAGGCCUAAUACAUGCAAGUCGAACGGUGUCUUCGGACAUAGUGGCGCACGGGUGCGUAACACGUAUGCAACCUACCUUACAUUGGGGGAUAGCCUUUCGAAAGGGAGAUUAAUACCGCAUAAGACAGUAGCUGGGCAUCCAGCAGCUGUUAAAGAUUUAUCGAUGUAAGCUGGGCAUGCGUCCAAUUAGCUAGUUGGUGAGGUAACGGCUCACCAAGGCAAUGAUUGGUAGGGGAACUGAGAGGUCAAUCCCCCACACUGGCACUGAGAUACGGGCCAGACUCCUACGGGAGGCAGCAGUAGGGAGUAUUGGGCAAUGGACGCAAGUCUGACCCAGCCAUGCCGCGUGCAGGAUGAAGGCGUUAUGCGUUGUAAACUGCUUUUAUACAGGAAGAAACGACUCUUGCGAGAGGCAUUGACGGUACUGUAUGGAUAAGCACCGGCUAACUCCGUGCCAGCCGCCGCGGUAAAAC
rnacentral:rRNA from 1 species